AAAGUAUGGAGAACAGCACGAUGUGCCAGAGAACCACAUUCUCGGGAAAGACACACUCGGACCAUAUAGUCUUAUCCGCUAGGUAACUGCUGUUCCUGUUACAACAAGACAGAAAGAAAAGAGAAGGAGCUUUAGUUGAGGUUUUAGGUGUUCUUACCCUACUGUAUGCUCAAAGGGAUACAGCCAUUGACCAUCCUCAACUUGGCAUUUUGGCCCAACAGCGAGUGCUGCAAUAGCAACACAUGCACAAUAGGCCGACCCAGCAAUGCCAAAUACAGACGAGAAAACAGAAUUCAGCAUCUGAACAAAACAAAAACAGCAUGAAAUGUUUACUCACACGGCAUCGGUUUCCACAGCAACCUGCCCCGCAACAGCCUUUGCCCCCGGCUCUGAUGGCUGAGCAGCUUGGACACAUCAUCUGAUAAAUAAAAGUGAGUGCAAAUUAACUUAUCAGCUGUAAUGUCAAGGAGAUAAGGGUUGCUGUAAAGCAGGUUAAAUAAUAUUUGUCUAAAUUACUUACUCUAUGAUAAACUCUUAAAAAAAAAAAAAGUUUUUUUUAUUGGCAUUUAUGGCAUUUAUUGUUCAUCUCUGAACAUUGAAAAAUGUUCUUCAGAUUAUUAAAAUGUUCUUCACAAUGAGAAAAUUUGUUCUUUAAAUAACUAUUCAAAUGUUUCUUUUGAGAACUCAAAAUUGUUCUUCUGACAUCACUGUACAACAUCCCCUUUUGGAACCUUUAUUUUUAAGAGUGAUUGUUUCUUCAAAAUGAAAACUCUCUCUACUUUUUCUGAAACAUGUUUACUUGCUCAUAGCGUGGUCGUUUGUAAAUGCAAUUAUUGCUUGAAGGGAACAUGAGCUAACUUACGUAACCUCAGGAUUAAUGCAUCCUGGUCAUAUCCAGGAUGUUCAAUACACUCUCAGAAAGGAAAAAAAAAUUAGACGAUACCUUUUCAAAGGGUAAAAAUAUGUGCCAUCAAGGUACUAAUAUGUACACUAAAAUGUACCUUUAAGGUACUUAUAUGCACACUUUAGGGGUAAAUAAGGUAUAAGCAUGUACAUUUUGAAAGGUUUCUGCCCCAGAUUUUGUACCAUUUUUUUCUGAUAGUGUAGUACGAAGUCAAUGUAUUUUUCAGGGUGUGAGCGGUGAAGCUCUGCAUAAUGGACCACUGUUCCUCAUAACUGUACUUGCUCACCGCAGACAUUAUGCUUUUGUUCCUCAAUUCUAAGGUUCUUUUAUUUUUAUUGACUAAUAUUGAUAAUUCAACCAUUCCAAUUUAUUGAUUGGUAUGCUAUAUAUUAUCAGACACAUACAUAAUAAAGUAAAUGGCACAGAAAGGCUUGUAGCAGUCUGUUUGAAGUAUCUGAUGUUCGUGGCUUAAUGGUUAGAGAGUCAAAACUUGUAACUCAAAGGUCACCGGGUUUGAGUCUUGGUACCGGCAGGGAUUGUAGGUGGGGGGAGUGAAUGACUCUCUUCCACCCUCAAUAGCAUGACUGAGGCCCUUGAGCAAGACACCGAACCCCCAACUGCUCCCCGGACGACACAGCAAAAAUGGCUACCCACUACUCUGGGUGUGUGUGUGUGUGUGUGUGUGUGUGUGUGUUCUCUUGGAUGGGACAAAUGUAGAGCACAAAUUCCGAGUAUGGUACACCAUCCUUGGCUACAUUUCACUUCACUUCUAAAACAUCAGGCCAAGUCAGUUCAUGUUCAGGUUAGGAAAUAAUAAAAUUCCUAUUGCACAUUCUCAAAAAAAAGAUCUGUCACUGGGGUGGUUCCCUUUCAAAAUGUACACAUUCUAACCUUAUUUACCCCUACAGGGUGCAUAUAAGGAUCUUAAAGGUACAUAUCAAUACCUAAAGUGUAUAUUGUACUUUAAUGGUACAUAUUUGUACCUUUCAAAAAAACUACCACCCCGGUGAGAACUUCUGUAGCUUUUUUUCUAAAAGUGCAUCUCAUAAUAACAUAAUCUCUUGUUUUCUCAGGAAACAGCCAAGUUCAGACAAACACCACAUUAAUGAUGAGAUAAAUACAACAAACUGAAUUACUCACAAUUAAUCCUCCACCAAGAACACCUCCCAUAAGCCAGACUUGAAGGGAAAUCUGGCCAGUUUCCAACUGUUCUCCAUUAGGGAAGAAUAAAAGUAUAUUUGCUAUUAUA